rnacentral:rRNA from 1 species
AACGAACGCUGGCGGCAGGCCUAACACAUGCAAGUCGAACGCCCUAGUAAUAGGGAGUGGCAGACGGGUGAGUAACACGUGGGAACCUUCCCUAUAGUACGGAAUAGCCCAGGGAAACUUGGAGUAAUACCGUAUAAGCCCGAGAGGGGAAAGAUUUAUCGCUAUAGGAUGGGCCCGCGUAGGAUUAGCUAGUUGGUGAGGUAACGGCUCACCAAGGCAACGAUCCUUAGCUGGUUUGAGAGAAUGACCAGCCACACUGGGACUGAGACACGGCCCAGACUCCUACGGGAGGCAGCAGUGGGGAAUCUUGGACAAUGGGCGCAAGCCUGAUCCAGCCAUGCCGCGUGAGUGAUGAAGGCCUUAGGGUUGUAAAGCC